UUGGAAAUUAACGACACAGACUGAGAAGGACAAAGACAGGGGGAAAGGGAUUUCUGAAAUGUCAGGGACUCCCUCCUGCUGACAUUUUCCUAACAGCUUGUCAGGGGCUUUCUCUGUGACACUGGAGCUGGAUUUUCCCACAGGAUCCUACAAACCUUUGCUGGUCCCCAACUGGAGGUCACUGCACAGGCUCUCUUCCUGGGUCCACCUGCUCCACUGACCUUGUCUAGGCAACAUGCCCAUGGGACCCAGUCAACUGUUAGCCAUGGCCACGCUCCCUCUAGACUUGUUUAAAACCUUUAUUGUGACACUUAUUCCAUUCGAAUAUGAUUAAUUUGUUACAUUUCUGAAUCUCUUACAAGACUAUGAACUCCCCAGGGUGCCAGGGUGGCUCAGUCGGUUGAGUGUCCAACUCGUAAUUUUGGCUCAGGUCAUGAUCCCAGGGUGUGGGAUCACGCCCUGCAUUGGACCCUGCACUGAGCAUGGAGCCUGCUUGAGAUUUUCUCUCUCUCUCUCUCUCUCCCUCUGCCCCUCUCUCC